UACAGAGGGGGCAAGCGUUGUUCGGAAUUACUGGGCGUAAAGGGCGCGUAGGCGGCCUGUUAAGUCGAACGUGAAAUCCCCGGGCUCAACCCGGGAACUGCGUCCGAUACUGGCAGGCUUGAAUCCGGGAGAGGGAUGCGGAAUUCCAGGUGUAGCGGUGAAAUGCGUAGAUAUGUGGAGGAACACCGAUGGCGAAGGCAGCCCCCUGGGCUAACACUGACGCUCAUGCACGAAAGCGUGGGGAGCAAACAGG
rnacentral:rRNA from 1 species